rnacentral:rRNA from 1 species
UACGGGGGGAGCAAGCGUUGUUCGGAUUUACUGGGCGUAAAGGGCGCGUAGGCGGUCGUGACAAGUCACUUGUGAAAUCUCCGGGCUUAACUCGGAACGGUCAAGUGAUACUGUCGGACUAGAGUACAGAAGGGCAACUGGAAUUCUCGGUGUAGCGGUGAGAUGCGUAGAUAUCGAGAGGAACACCUGCGGCGAAGGCGGGUUGCUGGGCUGAUACUGACGCUGAGGCGCGAAAGCCAGGGAGCGAACGGG